rnacentral:rRNA from 1 species
CGCGUAGGCGGCUUUGUAAGUCAGAUGUGAAAUUCCGGGGCUCAACCCCGGAGCUGCAUUUGAAACUGUAGAGCUAGAGUACAGUUAGGGUAAACGGAAUUCCACGUGUAGCGGUGAAAUGCGUAGAUAUCGGGAGGAACACCAGUGGCGAAGGCGGCCUACUGGGCACCAACUGACGCUGAGGCUCGAAAGUGUGGGUAGCAAACA